GACGAACCGUGCGAACGUUGUUCGGAUUCACUGGGCUUAAAGGGCGCGUAGGCGGGCGGUCAAGUCAGGGGUGAAAUCUUUCGGCUCAACCGGAAAAGUGCCUUUGAUACUGGCCGUCUCGAGGGAGGUAGGGGCAUGCGGAACUUCCGGUGGAGCGGUGAAAUGCGUAGAGAUCGGAAAGAACACCAACGGCGAAAGCACUCUGCUGGGCCGACACUGACACUGAGAGACGAAAGCUAGGGGAGCGAAUGGG
rnacentral:rRNA from 1 species